GCCACGGUGGUCUAGAGGUUAGAACGCUGGACUUGUAAUCCUGGGGUCUCGGGUUCGAUUCCCGGCGGUGCCC
rnacentral:tRNA from 1 species